rnacentral:rRNA from 1 species
UACGGGGGGGGGCAAGCGUUGUUCGGAAUUACUGGGCGUAAAGCGUGUGUAGGCGGUCUCUUAAGUCGGAUGUGAAAGCCCCGGGCUCAACCCGGGAAGUGCACUCGAAACUGGGAGGCUAGAGUACUGGAGAGGUUGGUGGAAUUCUCGGUGUAGAGGUGAAAUUCGUAGAUAUCGAGAGGAACACCGGUGGCGAAGGCGGCCAACUGGACAGAUACUGACGCUGAGACACGAAAGCGUGGGGAGCAAACAGG